CGCCGGGCCACCAGAGGCCGGAAAUGGAAGCAGAAGCGGAAGCGUUUGUCCGGGCGGAGGCUCCGCUAAAGUCCGUGCAGUGACCCUGGACUAGUGCCAUGGAGGGGUCUGGCUCUAGGGAGCCUGUGCUGGAUGCUAAAUCUGAGGUCACCAGCCAGGUGAGUCAGAGACCGCCCCGCCCUGUCCCUACAUCACCGCCAGUAGACUCCGGCGGCCGGCAGCACCCGGCCCGCCCCUCUCAGCUAGAGAUGCCAUUAAUUUCUACAGACAGUUCAAGGAAAUUGCUGCUGUUAUUGAAACUGUGUGAAAACUGGUUACUUGGAUUAAUAAAUGCUAUCAUUUUAAAAUGAUGGGCUUUACCUUCUACAAAGAACUGCACUUCCAUUUUUCCACUUUUAAAAAAUAAUUUAAAAAUCAGAUAAGCAGGAAUUAGUGAUUGAUGCACAAUUUUGUGAAUGUGCCCUAAAUGACUGAACUAAACAACUUUAAAUGGUGUAUUUUAUGUGUGAAUUAUGUCUUAAUAAAAAACAUUCAACUGUAUGAUUGAUUUUGAAGACAGUUGUUGUAGUUGGGUUUUCUAGGGAAUGCAUUUAAUACAGGAUACAUAAUUUAUAAUAUCACUCACCUAAAAAGUAAGAUGCCGGACUAAGUCUGUCCAUGCACUGGAGACCCAAAGAAACCAGCUUGGAUCUCACAGCAAAAUGCUACAUAAAUCCAGCUGAAGACCUAGAGCCUUUGACAAUGUUCUCCCCAAGUCCACCUGAAGGUUUAGAGCCCAUGACAAUGUCUCAUCAAGGAUUUGCACUGGGAAGGCCCAAAGGUAGCACACUUUGAUGGAGUCAGAAUCCAUUGGCUGCUGCCCAGCUGUGGACUCAGUUCUCACCAGCUUGAAGCAUGAGAUGACUGCCCAUUUGUGUUGAUUAACUGCUGCAGACAUGUUCUUCCCACCCUGUAGGUAGUGGGGCAUGUUUUUGUUUCUAGAAUUUGGAGAACCAAAAUUCCCAUCUCUUUUUCAUCUGUAGUAUAGUAGCCUCAUUUUACUUUUGGAAAUAAACUCCCUUUCAGACUUAAGAUCUUUUUACCUUCUGCUCUCCUCAGUUUAACAUCUUUCCCUGUUCUUCUCCUUUGUCUUUCUGGGUUUAAGGGCACAUGUAAAGGACCAAAGUUAGCUUCUGGCUUAAAAACGAUGGUUUGAAAUAAAUUUAAAUUGUGUGUAUGUUUUGAAUUUAAAACAGCCAAAUUUUUCAUAAUAUAGUUUUGCAGUGUUUUCAUUGUGAAUGUCUUUUGCUUUUUAAAAAUUUAAUCAGCUCACUAUGAUGGCCAAGGAAUUGACCACUGUUUAUAUCAAUGCCCCACUACAAAUGUAUGUAUUAUGUAUCAAAAACAUAGUAAUUUUAUAAAGGGAAAAUUUGACCAGGAAAAUGUGUCUCGCGUUUUAAACAUUUGAUUAAAUGUAAAUUUUUGUAAAGCUCAAGUUGUAAAAUGUAUGAUGAACUUUUUGUUACCCCUGAAUUCAUCAAGCAAAAUCUAUUUUCCAUAUAUUCUACCAUGAUAAGAUUAAUAUAAACAGCUUUAUUUGGAAAGAGGCAGAAGGGUCACGUUUCUUCAAAGGUGAUUGAAACCAACAUUAGUAAGACUGAUUAAUGCUGUUUUUAAAAAGAGUACUUAAUUAUCUCACAAUUUUUAAAACAUUUUGAACUUGAUAUUUUUAAAUAAUCUUUUACAGAUUUACAGAAAGAUUGUACACAGAUAAUUUCUAUAUGCCUCAAUCCAGUUUCUUUAUUAUAGUAUUGAUGUUUUACCAUCAUGGUAUUUUUUAUAAUUAAUUAACCAAUAUUGGUAUAUGUUAAAUUUGUUAUAGGCCCAUCUAGUAUGGCAUGUUACAUCUCCUUCAGUUUCUCUUGACUGUGUCAAUGUCUGUUGAUAACUCAGUUUCUGAUAACUCAGUCUGAUGAGUACUGGGGAGUUGUAUAAUAGGGUGCCCCUCAACUAGAAUUUGUUGUUUAUCUAGGUUGGAGGUGUGCGGUUUGGGGAGGAAGAGCACGAGGUAUAAAGUGCUAUUUUAUUUAUAUUCUCUCAAGGUUUAGAUCUUACAGGUUUGUAGUUUAGACCUAAAAUGUCCCCCAAACUUCUCGUGUAUGUGGAAGGUGAUUGGGUCAUGGAGGCACUAUACUCAUCAGAUUCUUCCAUUGAUGAAUAUGUAAAUGUAUGUGAAGUGGUUAGAUCUGACUAGUCUGUUUCCCUGGUCCUUCCUUUUGUUUUCUGCUUCCUAGCUGCCAUCAUCUUGCAGCAGAAAAUCCCACCCAGCCAGUAUACUUCAGUUGUGCAAGUGACAGUCCCUGUUGCAGUUCUGGUUGCUUCUGUUUUUUAGAAAUGGCCAGUCACUGUGCUGCAUAGCUGGUCACUAUGAUGUGUAUUGCAAGAACAGCCAAUUGUCAAAGACAGCCAAGUGCUUUACCUCUACACCUCCAUAAACCUCUCUCUGAGCCUUUGGAGCCUGACAUUUUGAGGGACAACUGAUUCUCUAUCAGUGCCUGCCUGAUGUUAAAUCAAUCUCCAAAUCCUGGGUGUCAUGGUGUUUCUGCUGGCUGUAGCAAUCUGAGACAGCUUUCUCUGCUUGGGCCCCUCCACCAUGCCCAUAGAGCCUUGGAGCCAGUCAACCAUACACGGAAAUGUCUGGAACUGUGAGCCAAAAUAAACUUCACCUUUAUAUUGUGAAUGUUGAGUAUUUUGUACCAGCAACAAGGAAGUGACUAAGACAGAUAGUAGCAACAUGAUUCCUGACUGCUGACCUUGAUAACCUCCCAGAGAUAGUAUUUGUCAGGCCUGUACUGUACAAUCACUUUUUAAAACACCACGUUGAAUACAUGUGUCUGAAUGUACAAACUUAGAGAAUGAGAAGCAAAAUUGUGGCUAGUGGUUACUGUUAUGCUAUUAGGUGGGCAGAAGAUGUGGGCAGGAUAGAACCGUGGCCAAUAGUUGCUAUGUUACUAGUAAUGUUCAAGUCUUGGUUGGGUGAUGGUUUUAUGGUAUUUAUUACAUCAUUAAAAAUAAAUUCAUAAAAUACGA